rnacentral:tRNA from 1 species
GCUCCGGUAGUAUAGCCCGGCCAAGUAUUCCGGCCUUUCGGCAGGAAGGUGGAAGAGAGCCGGAGACCCGGGUUCGAAUCCCGGCCGGAGCACCA